UGAAGCGUUAUUUCUUGCCUCAAGCCAGCCAACAUUGAGGCAAUUAACUCCAGCUGGCCAGGCUUAGCGUCUUCAUCAGCCUCAAGGUCACCACUACCCCCACCACUCGCUCCGCCAGCCGCACCGUGCUCGCCGAGGUCCAUUGUGCCCGAGGCGUCACUCUUUGUCUGCCCGUCCACUCACAGCACAAUUUCCACCCCGCUCCUGACACCACUGUUAUACUCCACUUGUCUACCCCUCACACAGGCAGACAGGUGCUCUCCCAAUUACUUAAACUGGGCUCGCUAUGGAAAACACAGUGCUCCCACGAGGCGGACAGCAGACACAAAGACACUCCGGCGGACACACUCGCACACACCCACAGAGCACACAGCGAGGCACAAUUAAAUACAGGGCGGACUUUCUUGGGGUUUACUAAGCAAUAGCACGUUGUACAAUCCUUAUAGUCCAAGGGGGAGGCAGUCAAGGCACAAAUCACAGGCGAUUAAGUCCUAAGGCACAGAGCACAGGCGAGCGCGUCCUUUUUCUUCUCUCCGUCUCCACUCUUCCUCGCCGCAUGGCGUCCCUCUCCAGCCCGCCCCCUCAACGGGGCCGCAGGGAACCCUCAUUACGUCACGUGGCGCCAAUUACAAUUUAAACUAAGCUAAGCCUUGGCGUAACACUAACAUGGCCGACGAAGACGAGGAACACUGCAGCGAAACUGAAGGCAACGAUAACAUGGCCGACGAAGACGAGGAACACUGCAGCGAAACUGAAGGCAACGAUAACAUGGCCGAAGAAUGAUGUCCUGAGGCUUGAAACCUUCACAGCGUCCUGCCGCUUCACCGCUUAUCAAACGCUCGUAACGCCAAGCAUAUCAGCGUGGCCUGGAACGCAACAGCACCACCGCAAGGCAGCAGCCCGCUCUGAUGUAGAGGCUCCUUCGUGCCUUGUUUAAUCAUGAUGCUUGUAAAGGAGAGUCGAGAGCCUCACCCAUUAUGUAGCUUUUGACUCUUUGCAAAACGUGUAACAUCUUUAUUAACUGGAAGUAGUUUUAUGGAAUAAACUUUGUGUAAAAUCACGAUGGCUACAAUUAUCAUUAAUUAUGUUGUCCGCAAGAGGUGUCAAAUCAUAAUAGGGGACCCUCCAGACUCUGUGUAUAGAGGACAGCACUGUGGUCCUCGGGUUGGAGCAGACGGAAAAGCAAAACCUCGCAUUUAUUUAUCUAAAAGGGCUGUGAGGCAGUGUCAUGACAUUUCAAUCAAAUGAAUCAAAUAUUUGUGUAGGAAAAUAUAGGAGAAAGUAUCACUGACUUUUAUUUUUUACAAAAUGAAACCGUCGUAGGUAAAGUUUGGGGCAUGCGCUGAAGCUGCGCGUGGCCUCGGCGUUCAUCUCCGCCUGUGGCGGGUGAGAACCCAUUACUCCAAGACACCGGAACAGUGUGACAUCCGGGUUACCACAGUUUACCCUCCCCAGGUACAAAUUUAUCAACCAAACCGAACGGGAGGAUGAACAGUUGGGUGGGCUGGGGGCCGACUGCUCGAACCCAGGCCUGCCGAUUUGUAGCUAGGCGUGCCAACCGCUUCACCACGGUAGCGCAUGGCAUUGUGACUAAAACCUGGAAAUUCAAGUUUCUUCUCGGCGGCCUUUUAUCAAGCCGAUGCAAAGGUGAGUAAAAUGAGGCCUGUAGUGAUGUGGGAUCCAUUCUAAUAGACCGGCUAAGCACGUUUCUUUUUUUAAGAGGGGGAGCACAUACGACUUUCGAUAAUAUAUAGCUACCUCUGACUUCUGUUUUGUUAGGAAAGCUGAAUUAUCAUGAUAACAAUCAAUGGUUUCUUGAAAGUAUGCAGCCAUGGGCCGGAAAUGUGUGUGUGUGUGUGUGUGUGUGUGUGUGUGUGUGUGUGUGUUUCAGUAUCCCUCCGAUCACUUAAAACAAUUACUCGAACUUCCAGGAAGAGUCAAUAGGGUAAAUAAUUGAUGAUGUUGACAAUUCUUCCAGUUUGAGCUGCGAAGAAGGCGACGCCCACCACUCAUGUGCCAGUCAGCCUCGGCAGUGCAGGUUCGAUCGGCUCCACACGCUGCCUCAGGACAACCGCCACACUUCUUAGGGGGUUAAAAAAAAAAACAUGGCAUUCCUCCCGGGAAGGAUGCGCCUUAUUACCCUCUUAGAAGUCUGCCUGAAAGUGUUCCGAGUCCUUGGGUUCCUGCCGUAUUCCUGGGAUGCCUCUGGACGCUGCCCUCAGACCAACAAACCGCAGACCCCCGAGAUAGCCUGGUCCUCCUCCUCACUGAUUAAUGUGGGAGGCGAUGAAAGGGAACUGUCGUCACCAGCCUUUCCGUGUUGCUUCAAGAGGCGACAGUCGCUUGUAACACUGUCUUGGAUCUUUGUGUUCAUCCGCAUUGCCCACGGUUUUGCAGUCAUAACCGUUCACGCAUAUUUCCUAAAACUGGAUAUUAAUGACCUGGGCAACUUAGUGACCACACAUAAUAUCACCGAUUUAUGUAUUCACCUCUUUUCAGUCCUCCUGUCAGCAAGUUUAAUGACGGUGCUGCUGUUGCGUGGCGAUCGGUUGGCUCACCUCCUGCAGAGCCUAAGUAACAUUAUUGCCAGCCAUCACGUUGCUGUGCUGUCUAAAGUUGAUGUCUCCGUGUGCUUCGUGUUUCUCCUCUAUCUUCUGUUAGCUCUCGUGUCCACCGUUGUCGAACUGCAGCACGUAGAAGAGACAGAAACACACGUGGUGAAGAAACAGCUUCGGUACGUUGAGGACACGAGCUUCUGCAUCGUCCACGUGCUCUUGGCCUUCACAGUCAUGGUCUUGAUCCUGUUCUUUCGUGCCGUCGCUGUCACCUUGUCGGAGAACUACACCAACAUCCUGAGGGAGAAACUGCCACGGGAGACACAUUCAGACCUGACGAAGGUGCGCCCGGAAGACUGUGACGAGGAGGAGAUCGAGGCCUGGAAAUUGGGUCCUGAGGGUGAAAGGAAGACUGACGGUGGUGCUAGGGAAAGGAAAGUUAAUUAUUCAAAACAAGACCUCAUUUCCGGAGAUCCCCACAACGGAAGGGCAGCCAAUAGUGGUGGAGGAAGAAAGAUUUAUGCUUUACAAGACCUCUCCUCGGCAGAUCCUUACAGUAGAAUGGUGACAAGUGGCGACAGCAGGAAAGAGACAGCACCCUCACUCUCACCACUGACCAUCACGGACAUCACCACAGCCAUUGACCAGCUCCAAGACCUCCACCAGUUCCAGCACCUCCUGAACGCCUACUUCGGCCUCCCUCUGUCUCUGAGUCUGGUCAAGAUGAUACUGGUGGUGGUCAUCCAAGCGUUCUUCGCUGCCAACGUCGCCGACAGGUGGAGGCUGGCCUGCAUCUUUGUGGCCAUCCCCCUCGAUCUCUCUCUCAUGGUGCAUCUGUUUUCUGCCCCCGAAAGUGUCACGCUGCAGAGAGAAAAACUACGAGAGGCUGUUCUUCUGAGGAGGCUGAAGGAGACGAGCAACAUGGAACUGGUGGACAAGUUUUCACCCAUCUCAUCAUUAUACUGUUCCUGCCACAGCUCGGCCGCUGGACAGAGGUGAUGGACACGUACACGGAUUUCAGUAUCGGCCGCCUGUUUGUUAUCGCUAAAUCCAACAUUGUGGGCCUGGCAAGCUUCAUGGCAACCUACUUAGUGAUUCUCCUUCAAUUCAACCAAGGAGACAAAGGAAGCAGUGGAAAAGAAAAAAUGAAUCCAGUGCAGUGAUCCUCAUGAAGCUCAAGUAGUGUCAGACGCAGCGGGCAGCCCACUCUGGAAUUGGCACUGCAGCACGACACACCUCAGGACACAGACUCACUGGUCCACGCCUGAUUGCAGCAGGUGUGGGAGUCAGUCCUGCCAGGGUCAAUGUG